rnacentral:rRNA from 1 species
GGUUAAGCGACUAAGCGUACACGGUGGAUGCCCUGGCAGUCAGAGGCGAUGAAGGACGUGCUAAUCUGCGAUAAGCGUCGGUAAGGUGAUAUGAACCGUUAUAACCGGCGAUUUCCGAAUGGGGAAACCCAGUGUGAUUCGUCACACUAUCAUUAACUGAAUCCAUAGGUUAAUGAGGCGAACCGGGGGAACUGAAACAUCUAAGUACCCCGAGGAAAAGAAAUCAACCGAGAUUCCCCCAGUAGCGGCGAGCGAACGGGGAGCAGCCCAGAGCCUGAAUCAGUGUGUGUGUUAGUGGAAGCGUCUGGAAAGGCGCGCGAUACAGGGUGACAGCCCCGUACACAAAAAUGCACAUGCUGUGAGCUCGAUGAGUAGGGCGGGACACGUGGUAUCCUGUCUGAAUAUGGGGGGACCAUCCUCCAAGGCUAAAUACUCCUGACUGACCGAUAGUGAACCAGUACCGUGAGGGAAAGGCGAAAAGAACCCCGGCGAGGGGAGUGAAAAAGAACCUGAAACCGUGUACGUACAAGCAGUGGGAGCACGCUUAGGCGUGUGACUGCGUACCUUUUGUAUAAUGGGUCAGCGACUUAUAUUCUGUAGCAAGGUUAACCGAAUAGGGGAGCCGAAGGGAAACCGAGUCUUAACUGGGCGUUAAGUUGCAGGGUAUAGACCCGAAACCCGGUGAUCUAGCCAUGGGCAGGUUGAAGGUUGGGUAACACUAACUGGAGGACCGAACCGACUAAUGUUGAAAAAUUAGCGGAUGACUUGUGGCUGGGGGUGAAAGGCCAAUCAAACCGGGAGAUAGCUGGUUCUCCCCGAAAGCUAUUUAGGUAGCGCCUCGUGAAUUCAUCUCCGGGGGUAGAGCACUGUUUCGGCAAGGGGGUCAUCCCGACUUACCAACCCGAUGCAAACUGCGAAUACCGGAGAAUGUUAUCACGGGAGACACACGGCGGGUGCUAACGUCCGUCGUGAAGAGGGAAACAACCCAGACCGCCAGCUAAGGUCCCAAAGUCAUGGUUAAGUGGGAAACGAUGUGGGAAGGCCCAGACAGCCAGGAUGUUGGCUUAGAAGCAGCCAUCAUUUAAAGAAAGCGUAAUAGCUCACUGGUCGAGUCGGCCUGCGCGGAAGAUGUAACGGGGCUAAACCAUGCACCGAAGCUGCGGCAGCGACGCUUAUGCGUUGUUGGGUAGGGGAGCGUUCUGUAAGCCUGCGAAGGUGUGCUGUGAGGCAUGCUGGAGGUAUCAGAAGUGCGAAUGCUGACAUAAGUAACGAUAAAGCGGGUGAAAAGCCCGCUCGCCGGAAGACCAAGGGUUCCUGUCCAACGUUAAUCGGGGCAGGGUGAGUCGACCCCUAAGGCGAGGCCGAAAGGCGUAGUCGAUGGGAAACAGGUUAAUAUUCCUGUACUUGGUGUUACUGCGAAGGGGGGACGGAGAAGGCUAUGUUGGCCGGGCGACGGUUGUCCCGGUUUAAGCGUGUAGGCUGGUUUUCCAGGCAAAUCCGGAAAAUCAAGGCUGAGGCGUGAUGACGAGGCACUACGGUGCUGAAGCAACAAAUGCCCUGCUUCCAGGAAAAGCCUCUAAGCAUCAGGUAACAUCAAAUCGUACCCCAAACCGACACAGGUGGUCAGGUAGAGAAUACCAAGGCGCUUGAGAGAACUCGGGUGAAGGAACUAGGCAAAAUGGUGCCGUAACUUCGGGAGAAGGCACGCUGAUAUGUAGGUGAAGUCCCUCGCGGAUGGAGCUGAAAUCAGUCGAAGAUACCAGCUGGCUGCAACUGUUUAUUAAAAACACAGCACUGUGCAAACACGAAAGUGGACGUAUACGGUGUGACGCCUGCCCGGUGCCGGAAGGUUAAUUGAUGGGGUUAGCGCAAGCGAAGCUCUUGAUCGAAGCCCCGGUAAACGGCGGCCGUAACUAUAACGGUCCUAAGGUAGCGAAAUUCCUUGUCGGGUAAGUUCCGACCUGCACGAAUGGCGUAAUGAUGGCCAGGCUGUCUCCACCCGAGACUCAGUGAAAUUGAACUCGCUGUGAAGAUGCAGUGUACCCGCGGCAAGACGGAAAGACCCCGUGAACCUUUACUAUAGCUUGACACUGAACAUUGAGCCUUGAUGUGUAGGAUAGGUGGGAGGCUUUGAAGUGUGGACGCCAGUCUGCAUGGAGCCGACCUUGAAAUACCACCCUUUAAUGUUUGAUGUUCUAACGUUGACCCGUAAUCCGGGUUGCGGACAGUGUCUGGUGGGUAGUUUGACUGGGGCGGUCUCCUCCUAAAGAGUAACGGAGGAGCACGAAGGUUGGCUAAUCCUGGUCGGACAUCAGGAGGUUAGUGCAAUGGCAUAAGCCAGCUUGACUGCGAGCGUGACGGCGCGAGCAGGUGCGAAAGCAGGUCAUAGUGAUCCGGUGGUUCUGAAUGGAAGGGCCAUCGCUCAACGGAUAAAAGGUACUCCGGGGAUAACAGGCUGAUACCGCCCAAGAGUUCAUAUCGACGGCGGUGUUUGGCACCUCGAUGUCGGCUCAUCACAUCCUGGGGCUGAAGUAGGUCCCAAGGGUAUGGCUGUUCGCCAUUUAAAGUGGUACGCGAGCUGGGUUUAGAACGUCGUGAGACAGUUCGGUCCCUAUCUGCCGUGGGCGCUGGAGAACUGAGGGGGGCUGCUCCUAGUACGAGAGGACCGGAGUGGACGCAUCACUGGUGUUCGGGUUGUCAUGCCAAUGGCACUGCCCGGUAGCUAAAUGCGGAAGAGAUAAGUGCUGAAAGCAUCUAAGCACGAAACUUGCCCCGAGAUGAGUUCUCCCUGACUCCUUGAGAGUCCUGAAGGAACGUUGAAGACGACGACGUUGAUAGGCCGGGUGUGUAAGCGCAGCGAUGCGUUGAGCUAAC